rnacentral:siRNA from 1 species
GUUAAGGAGUGUUAACGGUGAGUC